AAGCUGCCCUUAAGCUCCGUAGUUGAAUUUCGGGAUCAAUUUAUUGGUCGUGCUAUUGUACGUACUGGUAUUAUUGAUUUCUACCUUCUGACGAACCAUGAUGUCAUUAAUUUGGUGUCUUGGGGAAUCAGGACUGUUACUUUGAAAAAAUUAGAGUGUUUAAAGCAGGCUCACGCUUGAAUACAUUAGCAUGGAAUAACGAAAUAGGACGUUUGAUUCUAUUUUGUUGGUUUCUAGGAUCGACGUAAUGAUUAAUAGGGAUAGUUGGG
rnacentral:rRNA from 1 species